rnacentral:rRNA from 1 species
ACGAAAAGGGGAGCAAUCUCCUUUUAGUGGCGAAAGGGUUAGUAAGGCAUGAGUAAUCUGCCUCGUACCUCGGAAUAACGGCUGGAAACGGCCGCUAAUACCGGAUGAGGCGUUUCUACGGCAUCGUGGGGGCGUCAACGUUGGGGACUAUGAAAGUAGCCUUGCGGUACGAGAAGAGCUCAUGAGGUAUCAGCUAGUUGGUGUGGUAAUGGCGCACCAAGG